CAGGUCGGACAAAUGAUUGCGGCUGUCUUAGGCAGGUGAGGAAAGUCCGGGCUUCAUAGGGCAGGGUGCCGGAUAACGUCCGGUAGAGGUAACUCUCAGGCUAGUGCAACAGAAAAGAACCGCCAUUUUUGGUAAGGGUGAAACGGCGAGGUAAGAGCUCACCGCCAUUUUGGUAACAAAAUGGGCAGAUGUAAACCCCACUCGAAGCAAGACCAAGCAGAGAACUAUGCGGCUGCCCGUCGCGUUCUCAGGUAGGUCGCUUGAGCUGGCUGGUAACAGUCAGCCUAGAUAGAUAAUCAUUCACGACAUAACCCGGCUUAUCGUCUGGCCUGAUAU
rnacentral:RNase_P_RNA from 1 species